rnacentral:rRNA from 1 species
AGGAUCACGUGAGAAACGUGCCCCAGACUCUGGGAUAACAAUUGGAAACGAUUGCUAAUACCGGAUGACGUCGGAGAACCGCAUGGUUCACUGACGAAAGAUAUUUCGGUUUGGGAGCGUCUCGCGGCCUAUCAGCUUGUUGGUGGGGUAAUGGCCUACCAAGGCAACGACGGGUAGCUGGUCUGAGAGGAUGAUCAGCCACACUGGGACUGAGACACGGCCCAGACUCCUACGGGAGGCAGCAGUGGGGAAUCUUGCGCAAUGGGCGAAAGCCUGACGCAGCAACGCCGCGUGCGGGAUGAAGGCCUUCGGGCUGUAAACCGCUUUCAGCAGGAACGAAAAUGACGGUACCUGCAGAAGAAGGAGCGGCCAACUACGUGCCAGCAGCCGCGGUGACACGUAGGCUCCAAGCGUUGUCCGGAUUUAUUGGGCGUAAAGAGCUCGUAGGCGGUUGAGUAAGUCGGGUGUGAAAACUCUGGGCUUAACCCGGAGACGCCAUCCGAUACUGCUCUGACUAGAGUUCAGGAGGGGAGUGGGGAAUUCCUAGUGUAGCGGUGAAAUGCGCAGAUAUUAGGAGGAACACCGGUGGCGAAGGCGCCACUCUGGACUGAAACUGACGCUGAGGAGCGAAAGCAUGGGUAGCAAACAGGAUUAGAUACCCUGGUAGUCCAUGCCGUAAGC